rnacentral:rRNA from 1 species
AAUCAUGGCUCAGGAUGAACGCUAGCUACAGGCUUAACACAUGCAAGUCGAGGGGCAGCAUGAACUUAGCUUGCUAAGUUUGAUGGCGACCGGCGCACGGGUGAGUAACACGUAUCCAACCUGCCGAUGACGUCGGGGAUAGCCUUUCGAAAGAAAGAUUAAUACCCGAUGGCAUAGUUCUUCCGCAUGGUAGAACUAUUAAAGAAUUUCGGUCAUCGAUGGGGAUGCGUUCCAUUAGGUUG